rnacentral:misc_RNA from 1 species
UUUUUGCUUUUUAAGCUCUUGGCGGCAUUGUUAAGUUUCUUUUGUAGUUGCUUUCGUAGAUUUCGUUGCUUUAAUAUUUUUUUUUUUUGCCUUUUUAAUGAAUAUUUUUCUGCGAAAAACUAAAUACAUAUAAAAUGAUAGUUCGAAUUAUGGAUCAUGUAAGGUUAAAGUAAUUUUUAUUAAUUUGUGAUAUUAACAAUUGUUUUUAAAUGUUUGAUCAUUAAAAAUUUAAAAAAUUUUAAAUAUUUGCAAUGAUAGAUUGCAAGAAGUGAUUUUGUAUAUCUGUAAAACAAUUAAUUUUACGUAUUUGAUCCGGAAUUAGGACUUUUCUUUUAAUGAGAUAGAAGGAAAUCUUUUAAAAGGACUACAUUACAGGCUCUUACCUCAAGGGAGUGUGAGACCUACCUGCUAAAACCUUUUCCCUUCUUACCAUAUCACACAUUUUUGAAAAGAAUUUUCCUACAUAAUUUUCUCACAGAACUACUUAUUCUUUAUUUUUAAUUAAUAGUUUAAUAGGAGGAAUUUUUGUUUAAAAGGUUGAUUAUAAAAAAUUAUAAUCAACCGUUAUAAAAAAUAGUCCCAUAAGCACUGAUUAAUUGUGUUGCAACUCUGUUUUGCAUCUUAGUAAAUGGGAUUAAUUUUCUUAUCUAUAAUACCAUUAAUACAAUUUGAUGCUCCGUAUAAAAUAAUGGAAUGCACUACAUUAACAUAGAAUUGUCUUUUUGCUUCAAUCGAAUCUUUAACAUUUAGCCUACAGUUUCGUAAUCAUUCCAACUCGAGUUACUGUCAACUUACAAAUAGCUGCCCUUGAAUUUGAAUUUACAAUUUUUGUAUCAGAACUUUCAAAGAUCUUUCAAUAAUUCUGAAUAAAUGACGUGUAAAAACGCAAAAGCCGGACAAAUGUGCUUCUUAAUUAAGAUCCGUGACUUACUCGCGUUAAUUUAAUUUAUUUUUUAUGGAUUUACAUAACUUGACCAAUUUUUUUAAAUUUUAAUAUUUAAUUUAAAUUUUUUUGAGAUUUAAAACUUUAAGAAAAUGCACAAUAUUUUAAAUUAAUUUUUUUUAUUUCCAGAAUGCGCUGAUCCUUUAAUUCAUGGCCUGUGGAUCAACGUUGCUGGCAUAUAUUUUUGCUUUGCAAUUCCGAAUAAUUCUCUACUGAAUCGCAUUAUCGACAAGGUAGAGACAAUCAGGGAGUAAAGAAGUUUUCCUCUUUCUUGAAGAAAGCAAGAUAAAAAUGGAUAACCAAAAUACGACUGCAGUAAAUAACUUAUCCGAGGACAUGAUGUCAAAUCUAAUGGUACAAAUAGUGUUUUAUGUGAUCUACAGUAUUAUCUUCGUACUUGGAAUAUUAGGUAAUGUGUUCGUGAUCUUCGUUGUCGGGCGAAAUCGUCGAAUGCACACAGUUACCAAUCUUUUUAUCGCGAAUCUUGCGCUCAGUGAUAUGUUGCUGUGCUUUUUGGCUGUGCCUUUUACUCCUUUGUACACUUUCCUAGGCGGUUGGAUUUUCGGUAAAACUCUCUGCCAUUUGGUACCCUACGCUCAGGCCGUGAGUGUGUAUAUCAGCACGCUUACAUUAACCAGCAUAGCAGUUGAUCGGUUUCUGGUGAUCAUCUAUCCGUUCCAUGCACGAAUGAGAAUCAAGACAUGCCUGGUGAUUAUCAUGGGUAUCUGGUUGAUCGCAUCAUUGAUUACCCUGCCAUUUGGCCUUUAUAUGCACAUGGUGCAGGAUAGAAAGCACACCUUCUGGUGCGCGGAGAAUUGGCCUAGUGAGUCAUUUCGCAAGAUCUUCAGUUUGUUGACUUCGAUACUACAAUUCAUCGUGCCAUUCUUCGUGAUUGCUUUCUGCUACAUAUGUGUGUCGAUCAAGUUGAACGAUCGGGCGCGCGCUAAACCCGGUAGCAAGUCCAACAGGCGCGAGGAAGAGGAUCGCGAGAGGAAACGCCGAACAAACCGGAUGCUGAUCGCGAUGGUUUCUAUAUUUGGUGCAUGCUGGUUGCCGCUCAACAUUGCCCUCAUUAUUGCUGACUUCUAUACGGAUGUUUACUACGUUUGGCCCUACUUUCGGUUCUACUUCUUCAUAUCGCACUGCAUCGCAAUGAGCAGCACCUGCUACAAUCCAUUCCUCUAUGCUUGGCUCAACGACAAUUUCCGGAAGGAAUUUAAACAGGACAGAUCUGCGCUUGCUCAUGAAGCGUUCGUUAAGAGCAGGCGCGCAAUAUGUUGGGACCAGAUAUACCAGAUUCAAGUCAUUAUCACAAGACAGGUCCUUCCAUGUUAUGCAAGAAAUGUCAAUGGUAAUAUUCCAAAGACGAUGGAAGCUCGCAGAAGUGACAAGAUAGAUAACGGCAAUAAUACCAUGCAAGAGACUUUACUGGGCAGUAAUACGCAGAAAGCGCAGAAUCCCGACGGAUGCGAGACGAUUAUACUAGAGAAACUGACAAACGCCAGGAAGCUAAAUCAGGCCUCGUGCUCGCAGAAUUUAGAUGACGUUUUGUAAGGAAAAGCGCAAAAGUUCUUCCGUGCAAAAAAUGGCAUUCCAAAGACCAAGGAGGUUCGCAGAGGCGACAAGAUACAUGACAGUAAUAUCGUGCAAGAGAUUUUACUAGGCAGAAAGCGCAGACUCCCAGAGGAGGUGAGAUUACUGAAAGAGAUGACAAACACCAGGAAGCAACUAAAUUAGCCCUCGGGUUCGAAGGAUUUCAACAUUCUCUAAGGGAAAGCGCAAAAGUUCUUUUUGAGCGUAUGGAGAAAAAUGAUCCGGAUUAUAAUGUGCUGAAGAAUUCUAUUUGCCACAUUAUAAAAGUAUUGACGUAUACAAAAGAUAUCAAAUGGAUAACCGAAGACCAGUCAAUAAUAUUCAAUAUUUUUUAUAAAAUUAAUAAUUGUCCGCUACAAAUAAUUUCUUUGCAUAGAUUGUUUAUCAAUCAAUGUGACGUAACGAUAAUUAGUGGUGAUCUUUGUAAACAAGGAGACCGUUUAUCGUUAUUCCUAUUUAAUGACACUCUUGAAAUAUGCAAGAGAAGAUCGAAAACUGGGUCGUUAAAUAGUCUUAAAAAUAUAAUUGGUUUAAAAAAAAAUAAGCUGUGCCAAGAAAAGCCGUAUAAGCAUGUUGAAAUGUUAUCGCUAAGUACUAUAAACAAAGUCGUGGAUGUAACUGAUCAAUGUCAUAAUGUAUUUGGGCUCAUUGUACGAAGUUCUCAGGACCUAACAGAAAAAUAUUUUUGGUUCAUAAUUACUGACAAAAAUAUAAAUAAAAGAAAUUAUUUAUAUAUUUUAUGUAGGCAGCUGUCUCUCACUACCCGUAUAGCUGAUACUGAUGCAUUCCUCAUUACACGUGAUUCGAAUCAUCUUAAAGCUAGUAUUGAUGCUGUGGCAUCAAAACAUUAAAAGUACAGUUACAACAAAUGGACGUGUAAGAGAAAUCUUACAAGAAAAAUAAUUUAGCUUACAAAAUAAGCUUAAUGAUUUAAAAGAUAAAAAAAAGCAAACAUUGGAAAACAUUGAUAAAAAAUAAAUAGAUAUGAUAAACGAAUAAAAAAAAUCUCAGAAUGUUAUCGAUGCUUUUCUCUUGCUUUUUGGAAGAAAAAAGACUGUUGCCAUAGAGCGGGCAUUCUGAAAGUGGAAGUUCAGAAAGAAAAAGACAUCAUGGUACUGUACCAUUCUCUCUUGUUUUGCUUAUGCGUACAAGUAAAAGGAGUACCAAAGACACACGAGAAACGUUAAACGAUGAACCAUGGAACGAAGGGAAAGUACAACUGGGAAACGCAUGUACGGCACAUCUAUUGCGUAGAGCUCCGGAAAUGCGAUAGAACGAUGUUGUUUCCUUUAUUGCGAUAAAAAGAUGAACGGAUAAAAGACGAGCAGAAAAGAAGCUGUAAGAACAUUUUUUAAUGAGAAAAAGUAGUUUAUAUAGAAAAAGAAUAGUUCAUAUAACGACGAAGAAAUGACAGCUCUAUAGAAUCACAUUCUUUCAUAUGUACACAUAUGUAUACAUAUGUCCAUUAUACUAACGCUAAAAAUUUUUACGACUUAUGUAUAUUAUUAAUCUUAUUAUAAUAAUUACAUUAAUUUAUAACAUUUUGUACAAGAUAUGAAGACUGUUUCUAGUGUAAUUUUUGACGCUGAGUCCGAAUCUAUCAUCGACAUAUUUUCAUCAUUCUAAUUUUUGAGGUAUAAGAAAAUUUUUUCUAAUAUAAAGUUUUAUAAAAAUAAACAAAGUAAAUCAAGCUUUUAUCUGUAUUUUUUAUAUGAAGAAAAUAAUGUAAGAAAGCAAAUUUCAGUGAUUCUCUAAUUAUGCAGUUUUUCUUUUCAAUAAUAUAUUGCUUACAAAAGUAAAAGAAAUAAAUUAAACUUAAACAAAUUUUACUGCCUUUUUUCUAUAUAUAAAUUAAAACAACCAUUUUGAUAUUACUUUGUAAACAUUACAAUUUUGUUUAUAUUAACUAGUGUUAUAUUAUUUUGGUAUAACAAACAGAUACCUUGUAAUCACUGUCAGUCAAACGGUACUACCUACAUACUUUAUAUUAUAAUAUUUUAAAAAUUUGAUUUGAUGAAUUUUUUAAUGAUUCGAACUCAGUGCUCUAAAAACAUUUAAAAAAUCUAUGUAUAAAAUAUUUUGAGCUUGAUAAACUCGAUGAGUUUUAUUUGAAGAUCUAAGGACAUUCAAUAGAGUGUAGACUUAUCCAAUAAACAAAUUGUUAGCAAGUUGUCGCCAUUGACAUUAAAUUCGCUCAAAGAUUGGUGACAGAUUUACUGUUAUCUUUGUCAGCUCCCCUAGUAACACAAUAUUGACAAAUUCAUUGGCGUUAUAUUAGCUCAAUAUAUCGCCAAUGUAAAUACAUUGGCGUAAUAUUGGACCAAUAUUGCGGCAAUAAAUUGUGCUACUGGGGUUGUCGUGAUUUGCUGACAAAGCUUACGCACAUAACCAGAUAGCAAAUUGACAAUUAAACAAGCUUUAUGUACCAUUAUCUAAGGAGAUAAAAAUCGAGUAAGCUUUGCGUUUAAUCAUAUUUUGAACUAAGCACAUAGACAAUAUAAGUAAUUAAAUAAUAAUAAUAAUAAUAAAUCAGGGGAUGAUCCUCAAGUGAAACUCCAUCAAUACAAACUAAGUCCAUCGUGCCUCCCCUCUUUAUCAGCUGCCAUCAAGAGAGCUCCAUCUUCUUCCAAAAAACUGAGCACAUUUUUCACAGGCACCUGCCCUACCUGAUCCGGUUCCAAAAUAACUAAACCUAGCAGGCGUGAUCUUGGUCUGACUAACGCCGGGCAAUACUCAAGGAUAUGAAAAUUACGUGUUCUCUUCUUCUCCAUAUAACCUGCAAUCGGCAUAGACAAUAUAAAAACAUCACAUGUCUUAGUUUCAAUUAUAUAUCUAGACUUUAAUUGUAUACAACUCGAUAAUUUUUAUAUGUGAGAGAUAAAAUCACCUGACGACA